UUUAAAGUCUGACCUGCCCAAUGAUUUUUAAAUGGCCGCAGUAUUUUGACUGUGCAAAGGUAGCAUAAUCAUUAGUUUUUUAAAUGAAAGCUGGAAUGAAAGGUUUGAUGAGAAAAAAGCUGUCUCAAUAUUAAUGAUUUAGAAUUUUAUUUUUAAGUUAAAAAGCUUAAAUAGUUUAAAAAGACGAGAAGACCCUAUAGAGUUUUAUAUAAUUAAAAAUAAAAAUUAAAUAGAUUUAUUUUAUAUUUAUUUUUUAUUAUAUUUUGUUGGGGUGACAUAAAAAUUUAAAAAACUUUUUAAUAAAAUUACAUUAAUUAAUGAAAAAUUGAUCCUUAUUUUUAGAUUAUAAGAAAAAAUUACCUUAGGGAUAACAGCGUAAUUUUUUUUAAGAGUUCAAAUCGAAAAAAAAGAUUGCGACCUCGAUGUUGGAUUAAAAUUUAAUUUUGGUGUAGAAGCUAUAAAUAUUAGGUCUGUUCGACCUUUAAAAUUUUACA
rnacentral:rRNA from 1 species